rnacentral:rRNA from 1 species
AGAGGUGGGCGAGCGUUGUUCGGAAUUAUUGGGCGUAAAGAGCACGUAGGUGGGAUUUGUAAGUCAGAUGUGAAAGCCUUCUGUUCAACGGAAGAAUUGCAUCUGAAACCACAAACCCUUGAGUAUAGGAGGGGAGAGUGGAACUUCUGGUGGAGCGGUGAAAUGCGUAGAUAUCAGAAGGAACGCCGGCGGCGAAAGCGACUCUCUGGCCUAUUACUGACACUGAGUGUGCGAAAGCUAGGGGAGCAAACGGGAUUAGAUACCCCGGUAGUCCUAGCCGUAAACGAUGGGCACUAAGUAGGGGAAACUACCGAUGUUUCUCUGCCGUAGCAAACGCAUUAAGUGCCCCGCCUGGGGAGUACGGCCGCAAGGCUA